GAGAGGCAGAGACAGAGGCAGAGGGAGAAGCAGGCUCCAUGCAGGGAGCCCGACGUGGGACUCGAUCCCGGGUCCCCAGGAUCAUGUCCUGGGCCGAAGGCAGGCGCCAAACCGCUGGGCCACCCAGGUGUCCCUAGAAUCUUUUUUUUUUUUUUUAAAGAUUUUAUUUAUUUAUUCCUGAGAGAGACAGAGAAAGGCAGAGACACAGACAGGAAGGAGAAGCAGAGGGAGAAGCAGGCGCCAGGCCGGGAGCCCGACGCAGGACUCGAACCCGGGUCUGCAGGGUCACGGCCUGGGCCCAAGGCAGGCCCCGGCCCCGGGUGCUGCGCGUGCCCGCGGGAGGUUCGGUGUCCGCAGGAGGAGCAGCUGCGGCGAGGCGGGCGGGAGCCCCGGUGGCCCGAACUGCGCCCCCCCCGACCCCCACCCCCCACCACCGAGGCGGGCCCAGGGUCGCUCGCACCCCUUCCUUCACGCUUCUGCCUCAAACAGCCCCGGGGGGGACGUCCUUUGCCCGGAGUCGCCCACUUGCCGGAGCUGGAAGCCGAGGCGGACCUCGCGGGGGCUCUUACCGCUCCGGGGGCUGCCCGGCGCCGCGGGCCUGCUCCGGCAAAGGCCGGGAGAGGGGUGGCCCGGGCCCCCCCGGGGAGAGCUGACUCCCUGGGGGGGGGGGGGUGCGCAGUGCACCCGGCUCCCCCCCUCCCCCCCAGAACACGGUGCCUGCAGUUUCAAAUCGCUCUCCGAGAUCCUCCGUUUCCGUGGGUGCAUCUUCCAGGGCUCCGGGGGCGAACCCGGUGUGCACCCCAUCCCCAGCGCCCGAUGCCCAGCAGGUACCCAGUGGAGAUUGGACUAAUUUUAAAGAAAUACGCUAAGGAGCCCCGAGAAACCCUGUGUGGGAAAGGAGACCAUCGACCCCAGGCACGUUGUGCCCAGCAAGGUGAAAACCAAAGGGCACCGGCUGUCUGAUCUUGGCUCAGAUACUACAACAGGCAGCCUCUAAGCUGGCCCCCCACUGAACCCUGCCUCCUACCAUUAAUGCUCUUGGGAUUUGGAAGAACAGAACGUGGCAGAAGCAGCCAUGUUUUGAACUGGCGUGCGAUGAGGGCCGCGUGACCGGGAACAGAGGGAGGCCUCCAGCCAGAAGCCUGUGAAGAACUGAAUCCUGUCAGCAACCAUGUCAGUGAGCUUGGCAUCGGAUCCUCCCCCAGCUGAGCCUUCAGAUGAGUUGGCAGCCCCAGCAGUCAGGUCAGCGUUUCCUGCCUCCUCCUGGAAGACCUUCAGCCCUGAGGCAGCCGGUUAAGCCACGCCUGGAUUCAUGACCCAAAGAAACUGUGAGAUAAUAAAUGUUUGUUGUUUUAAGCA
rnacentral:lncRNA from 12 species